CACGUAGGGUGCGAGCGUUGUCCGGAAUUAUUGGGCGUAAAGAGCUCGUAGGCGGUGUGUCGCGUCGGCCGUGAAAACCUGCAGCUUAACUGUGGGCUUGCGGUCGAUACGGGCAUCACUGGAGUUCGGCAGGGGAGACUGGAAUUCCUGGUGUAGCGGUGAAAUGCGCAGAUAUCGGGAGGAACACCAGUGGCGAAGGCGGCUUUCUGGCCCGUUCUUGACGCUGAGGCGCGAAAGCUAGGGUAGCAAACGGG
rnacentral:rRNA from 1 species